UACGGAGGGAGCUAGCGUUAUUCGGAAUUACUGGGCGUAAAGCGCACGUAGGCGGCUUUGUAAGUUAGAGGUGAAAGCCCGGGGGCUCAACUCCGGAACUGCCUUUAAGACUGCAUCGCUUGAAUCCAGGAGAGGUGAGUGGAAUUCCGAGUGUAGAGGUGAAAUUCGUAGAUAUUCGGAAGAACACCAGUGGCGAAGGCGGCUCACUGGACUGGUAUUGACGCUGAGGUGCGAAAGCGUGGGGAGCAAACAGG
rnacentral:rRNA from 1 species